rnacentral:lncRNA from 1 species
AGAGUACUUGGACCCAGAUUGACACUUUCUCGGUUAUUUGUCCAUGGCAUGUAGAUCAGUCAUUCAUCACCGUUUUGUCAGCGCUGGAUCCUACUUCCUCAAUUGGAAGAAAUAAAGGCUUUUAAAGCUUUCUGGUCACUGAUAGCUGCCCUGGGCAGCUCAGCUCUGCAUAUUUUGCAGGGCUUAGGUCAGAACAACCAACUCCUUCUUCAUUUCCUGCCUCUUCUCUUCCUCCCCCAACCAGCUCUCAGAAUGGGCAAGGGAUGAGGCGUUUUGGCAGGCAGAGGGGACCAAGAGAAAUGUCUCGUUUCAGCCUCAGAUGAGCCACAGCAGUUGGCAAACAAGGCUGUGUAUUCACUCACCAUUGUAGUGGCCACCAGUUGGGCUCGAAAGUGAAUCCUGAGAAGGGAAUCUAGACCUCUGGUGAAACUGG